UUGACACAGAGUGAUCAAUAUAGAGAAUUUAUAGCACACAGUUCCCCGCUAUCUAGACUUCUGAAAUCAAAGAUACUACGUCACACAGUCUGCCUCUUCUCCCACCACUCCACUCCCUUUCCUUUCCUCUCCUCUCCUCUUCUCCCUCCACUCCCUUUCCUUUCCUUUCCUCUCCUCUUCUCUCUCCACUCCCUUUCCUUUCCUUUCCUUUUCUCCCUUCACUCCCUUUCCUUUCCUCUCCUCUUCUCCCUCCACUCCCUUUCUCCUUUACGUUUCUCUCUCGUACUUUCCCCUCCCUCCACUUUCCCUUUCCUUUCCUCUCCUCUUCUCCCUCCACUCCCUUCUCUUUCCUCUCCUCUCCUCUCCCUCUUCUCCCUCCACUCCCCUCUUCUCCUUCCUUCCUUUCCUUUCCUCUCCUCUUCCUCUCACUGCCCUUUCCUCCUCUCCUCUUCUCCCUUCACUCCUUUCCUUUCCUACUCCUCUCCUCUCACCACUUCCCUUUCCUUCCUUUCCUCUCCUCUUCUCCCUCCACUCCCCUUUCCUCUCCUCUUCUCCCUCCCAUCCCUUUCCUCUCCUCUCGCUCUCUCUCCCACCCCUUUCCUUUCCUUUCCUCUCCUCUUCUCUCUCCCACUUCCCUUUCCUCUCCUCUUCUCCCUUCACUCCCUUUCCUUUCCUCUCCUCUACUCUCUCUCCACUUCCUUUCCUUUCCUCUCCUCUUCUUUCCCCACUCCCUUUCCUUUCCGUCUCCUCUCUCCACUCCCUUUCCUCUCCUCUUCUCCCUCAAUCUCCCUUCCUUUCCCUCUCCGUCUCCCUCCACUCCCCUCCCUUUCCUCUCCCGCUCCUCUUCUCCCUCCCUCUACCUUUUCCUUUCUCUCUCCUCCUCCUCUCUCCCUCCAUCCCUUUCCUUUUCCUCUCCUCCCUCCACUCCCUUUCCUCUCCUCUCCACUUCUCUUCGCCCUCCACUUCCCUUUCCUUUCCUCCCUCCCCCCAUGCUCCCUUUCCUUUCCU
rnacentral:lncRNA from 1 species